rnacentral:rRNA from 1 species
UACGUAGGGGGCUAGCGUUGUCCGGAAUCAUUGGGCGUAAAGCGCGUGUAGGCGGCCCGGUAAGUCCGCUGUGAAAGUCCAGGGCUCAACCCUGGGAUGCCGGUGGAUACUGUCGGGCUCGAGUCCGGAAGAGGCGAGUGGAAUUCCCAGUGUAGCGGUGAAAUGCGUAGAUAUUGGGAGGAACACCGGUGGCGAAGGCGGCCCUCUGGACCGGUACUGACGCUGAUGCGCGAAAGCGUGGGGAGCAAACGGG